rnacentral:lncRNA from 1 species
UCACGACGGGCUUAUAUGUUAGAUUGAUAUUGGAAUUAGGAAUCUAAAGAGCUUUCACUCCACAGUCCACACUGCUCUGCCAUUAUGUAUCUGUUUCAAACAACUUCUGAAUUAUCUUUAUAAAUUCAUUGCUGCACCAGGCUGUGUAAAUAUGAUUUGUUAAGUGGCUAAGUGAAUGGACCCCAUAGUAUUAUCAAUGCAAUUAUGAUAUCAAAGAAAACCUAUAUUAAAGUGUUUUUACGGAAGACAUAUGUUGGUAGGACCAAGAUGUUCUAUAUUUACAUUUCAUUGCAUGGCAGAUGUUAUGUGCUAGAACUGUAAUGCCCUUCAAAACAGAAAAUAGGGGGAGAAAAAGAUAGAAAUAUACUAGGUUGAGAAAAAGGAAAGGCAGCAGGUUUAGAGAGAGUUAGAGGAGAAUAAAUAUAAUUCUUUGUAUUGACUCUAUGAAUGAAUGGAUACUGAUACUGGUUCUGCUUUUGAACUUCUAGCUAGUAACUAAUUCUAAAAGCUGUAACUACUCUUCUAAGAUGGUCGUAACUACAAUACUUCUCUUUCCCCUAUUUCUAACUGUGAAACUACCAGCUAAACUAACUGAGCUACUCUUUAGUCACUUACUACUCCACACUUUAGUCAUAACGUUUCCCAUCUCUUGAAAUCAUUCUUGUCCUAAAAGAUGAAGAAAUAACAAUCAGAAAAACAUAUUAGCAAAUUAUAGACCAUGUGCUACUAAGACAAUUUUGAUGACCAAAACUAAUACCCUGCAUAUUGAAACUUGACUUUCUUCCUUCAUGUUUCCCUUUCUUUCUUUGCCUUCCCCAUCUUUCAAAUUCAUCUUCUUCGUAAUUACAAAUGCGGCUCCCUUCAAGAUUAAUUUCUUUUGCAGCCUUUUUGAUUAUUAAAUUUGGGCCAGGCCUAACUCACCCCAAAAGCUAGCUCAAGGAGGAGGAUUGCCUAUGACCCAUAUAAGGGGCACAUUACCCUUUCCACAACCGAUGUGGGAUUCAACACACCCCUCACGCCCAUAAUUCCUACUGGUGCGUGGCAUAUUUAUGGGGUGCCCAACAUCGGAUGGGGAGGCUCUGAUACCAUAUUAAAUUUGGGCUAGGCCUAACUCACCCCAAAAGCUAGCUCAAGGAGGAGGAUUGCCUAUGGCCCAUAUAAGGGGCACAUUACCCCUUUCCAUAACCGAUGUGGGAUUCAACAUUGAUUUCUCCCGUUUAUCCUCUAUGAAUAUUAGGAACUCACAAUCAUGAUUCUCUUGAACUAAUACGUUCAGUUCAUCCCCACUGCUACAGGAAAUUGCAAUCUCCAUCAAGGUUACCCCGUGAUGCUAUUUUUAUGCACUAGACUCAAACUUCAGCAACAACAACCUCAUCCUGCUUAGUUAUAUGCUGAAGGCCAUAACAGAAAUUUUGGUCUAUCUUCAUAUUGAAAUGCUCUAGAGAUUUGAGGAUUUUUUGUCAAUGUCUUCUUGAUUCUCAGAAGAAGCCAUGCCUGCAUUUUCAAUUGAAUCUGCUUGAUCCAGAACAAUCUCCUCUUUAUCACUAAUAGUAUCAACCUCUUCCUCUUCUCCAUCAUCCACAAUAUCAACCUCUUCUUCCUCCGUUCUUCACCUUCUCUAACAAUGUCAAGCUCUUCCUUUCUGCAUUACCAUGGCAAAAUGAUGCAACAUCAAGAAAAUCAGUCUCCUCAGCCUCUCUCUCCUCAAUCUUUCUCAAUUCCUUGCCAUCACUUUCAGUUUUCUGAUUUUUCUUUGGGAUUUUGAUCCACUUUUUCCAGCAGCUUGUCAAUAUGCUCAAGCGGUAGCCAGAAUGAUUUUUUUGUUGCCAAGGUUGUAGUUCCAUGGCUGAUUGUAGAGUUGCUGAAAGAAGAGAAUUCUGAUGGCCGAUACAGAAAACAAAAAGAAGAGAAAUUGAAAACAGAGAAGAGAGGGGAAUCUGUUCUUGACAGUUAGAGAAAGAGAGAGAAACAGGAAGAAAGAGAGGGAAAAUCAAGUACAAAUAGAGGACUUUGAAAGGAAAGAAUCAGAUAUUUUCUUGAUAUUUCUAGAAUUUGUCAACUGGACAGAAUCAGACCUGAAACAGGUAGUAUCAAAACUGAAACAGAGUUCUGACACAGAUAAAUGGAAACGGAAAGCUUGAAGAUAGAUCUGAGAGAGAUUAGUUGAGAAGAGAAACAGAAUGAAAGAAAGAAUCAGAAGAAGUAGGAAGAAAUAGAGAAAGAAAGGAAGAGAAGUGUUUAGAGAGAAGGAAACAGAGAAAAGAUAGAAGGUAGACUGAGUUUAUUGAUAAUUCUUGAAAUUUCAUGAAAGAAAAAAAGAUAGAGCAGAAGAAUUAAUUGAUAGAUUAGUAGAAAAAAACGUGGAAUUUUGGGAAGCCUUGGACCUGCUCUAAUACCAAUUGUUAUGUAUCAGACCUGUAAUACCCUUCAAAACAAAAAAAUGGGCGAAAACAAAAAUAUCGGCGGAGAAAGAUAAAAGUAGACUAGGUUGAGAAAAGUAAAGAAGAUAUAGAGAGAACUAGAUAUAUUGAUUCUUGGAAUGAAUGAUUGCAGAAUGCAGAUACUGAUAUCGUUUUUUUAUACUUCUUCUAGCUGGUAACUACUUCUGACUGGUGUAACUACUCUUCUAAGAGAGUUGUAACUGCAAU